CCUACGGGAGGCAGCAGUGAGGAAUAUUGGUCAAUGGUCGGGAGACUGAACCAGCCAAGCCGCGGGAGGGAUGAAGGUACAGAGUAUCGUAAACCUCUUUUGUCAGGGAACAAAGGCGGGGACGUGUCCCCGGAUGAGUGUACCUGAAGAAAAAGCAUCGGCUAACUCCGUGCCAGCAGCCGCGGUAAUACGGGGGAUGCGAGCGGUAUCCGGAUUGAGUGGGUUAAAGGGGGGCGCAGGCGGCCUGUUAAGUCAGCGGCAAAAGCCCGGGGCUCAACCCCGGCCCGCCGUUGAAACUGGCAGUCUCGAGUUGGAGAGAAGUAUGCGGAAUGCGCGGUGUAGCGGUGAAAUGCAUAGAUAUCGCGCAGAACUCCGAUUGCGAAGGCAGCAUGCCGGCUCCACACUGACGCUGAGGCACGAAAGCGUGGGUAUCGAACAGGAUUAGAUACCCGUGUAGUC
rnacentral:rRNA from 1 species